UUGAAAGGGAAACGAUUGAAGUCAGUCAUGCUAGUGAAAAAUCAGUUUGACGGGUUUUGAGUUCGGGAGUAGAGGCAGGGUCAAACCGUCUCUCUUUUGGACUUGGGAUUUGUCGGAUGUACUUUUUCUUUGGCAGGUCAGCGUCGGUUUCGGAGGUUGUAAAAUACUUGGGGGAAAGUAGCUCUGCUUCGGGAGAGUAUUAUAGACCCUGGGGGAUGCAGCCUGUGGGAUCGAGGAUUGCAGCAAAUGCCUUUGGCUUGUCGCCUGAUCUCUGGAUGUUACCUUGCUUGUGACAACAUUCUUGCCACCGGAGAGUACUGAUGCCCAUUAGGUUAGAUCGAUCAAAAAUUCGUUAAGGAUGUUGACGUA
rnacentral:rRNA from 1 species